AGCCCUGCGCAGUAUCGUAGCCAAGGAGGUUUGUCCAAAACGCGAUUAUUGCUAAUUGAAAACUUUUCCCAAUACCCCGCUAUGACGACUUGAAAUAUAGUCGGCGUUGGCAAUUUUUGGCAGUCUCUACGGGGA